AGUAACACGUAAACAACCUGCCUUGGAUGGGGGAGUAACAGACGGAAACGACUGCUAAUACCGAAUACGUUCUAAGCAUCGCAUGAUGCAUAGAAGAAAGGGUGGCCUCUACAAGAAAGCUAUCGCCUUAAGAGGGGUUUGCGACUGAUUAGGUAGUUGGUGGGGUAACGGCCUACCAAGCCGACGAUCAGUAGCCGACCUGAGAGGGUGACCGGCCACAUUGGGACUGAGACACGGCCCAA
rnacentral:rRNA from 1 species